GAGUUUGAUCAUGGCUCAGAAUCAACGCUGGCGGCGUGCCUCAGACAUGCAAGUCGAACGCGAAAGUCCCCUUCGGGGGGCAAGUAGAGUGGCGCACGGGUGAGUAACACGUAGGUAAUCUACCUUUGGAUUGGGAAUAACCACCGGAAACGGUGGCUAAUACCGAAUAAUGCAGCGGCACCUAAUGGUGACAGUUGUUAAAGCGGGGGAUCGCAAGACCUCGCGUCUGAAGAGGAGCCUGCGGCAGAUUAGCUAGUUGGUAAGGUAACGGCUUACCAAGGCGAUGAUCUGUAGCCGGCCUGAGAGGGCGGUCGGCCACACUGACACUGACAUACGGGUCAGACUCCUACGGGAGGCAGCAGUCGGGAAUUUUGGGCAAUGGGCGAAAGCCUGACCCAGCAACGCCGCGUGAAGGAUGAAAUCCCUCGGGAUGUAAACUUCGCAAGAACAGGAAGAAUAAGUAAGAGUUAAUAUCUCUUAUGAUGACGGUACUGUUUGUAAGCUCCGGCUAACUCCGUGCCAGCAGCCGCGUAAUUC
rnacentral:rRNA from 1 species